GACGAACGCUGGCGGCGUGCUUAACACAUGCAAGUCGAACGGAAAGGCCCUGCUCUUGUGGGGUGCUCGAGUGGCGAACGGGAGAGUAACACGUGAGUAACCUGACCUUGACUUUGGGAUAACUUCAGGAAACUGGGGCGAAUACCGGAUAGGAGCUCCUGCGGCAGGGGGGUGGUUGGAAAGUUUCGGCGGUUGGGGUUGGCCUCGCGGCUUAUCAGCUUGUUGGUGGGGUAGUGGCUUACCAAGGCUUUGACGGGUGGCCGGCCUGCGAGGGUGCUCGGCCACAUUGGGGCCUAGAUCGGGCCCAGACUGCUACGGGUGUCAGCAGUGGGGAAUAUUGCACAAUGGGCGGAGGCGUGAGGCAGCAGCGCCGCGUGCGGGAUGACGGCCUUCGGGUUGUAAACCGCUUUCGCCUGUGACGAAGCGUGAGUGACGGUAAUGGGUAUAGAAGCCCCGGCUAACUACGUG
rnacentral:rRNA from 1 species